AGCGUUGUGGCGCAGCUGGAAGCGCGCAGGGCUCAUAUUUGAUCUGAAUAGGAUUUGUGACCCUGAGGUCUCGGGAUCGAGACCCGACGACGCUA